CGGCGGACGGGUGAGUAACACGUGGAUAACCUACCUAUAAGACUGGGAUAACUACGGGAAACCGGAGCUAAUACCGGAUAAUAUAUUGAACCGCAUGGUUCAAUAGUGAAAGACGGUUUUGCUGUCACUUAUAAAUGGAUCCGCGCCGCAUUAGCUAGUUGGUAAGGUAACGGCUUACCAAGGCAACGAUGCGUAGCCGACCUGAGAGGGUGAUCGGCCACACUGGAACUGAGACACGGUCCAG
rnacentral:rRNA from 1 species